rnacentral:rRNA from 1 species
CGGGUGAGUAAUACAUAAGUAACCUGCCCUAGACAGGGGGAGUAACUAUUGGAAACGAUAGCUAAGACCGCAUAGGUACGGACACUGCAUGGUGACCGUAUUAAAAGUGCCUCAAAGCACUGGUAGAGGAUGGACUUAUGGCGCAUUAGCUGGUUGGCGGGGUAACGGCCCACCAAGGCGACGAUGCGUAGCCGACCUGGGAGGGUGACCGGCCACACUGGGACUGAGACACGGCCCAG